rnacentral:rRNA from 1 species
CCUACGUGUGGCAGCAGUGAGGAAUAUUGGUCAAUGGACGAAAGUCUGAACCAGCCAAGUAGCGUGCAGGAUGACUGCCCUAUGGGUUGUAAACUUCUUUUAUGUGGGACUAAACUGUUCCACGUGUGGGAUUUUGUAUGUACCGUAUGAAUAAGGAUCGGCUAAUUCCGUGCCAGCAGCCGCGGUAAUACGGAGGUUCCGGGCGUUAUCCGGAUUUAUUGGGUUUAAAGGGUGCGUAGGCUGCCUGUUAAGUCAGUUGUGAAAGUGCGCGGCGCAACCGUAAAAUUGCAGUUGAAACUGGCAGGCUUGAGUACGGUAGAGGUGGGCGGAAUUCGUGGUGUAGCGGUGAAAUGCUUAGAUAUCACGCAGAACUCCGAUUGCGAAGGCAGCAUACCGGCGCUCAACUGACGCUGAUGCACGAAAGUGUGGGUAUCGAACAGGAUUAGAUACCCGAGUAGUC